rnacentral:lncRNA from 1 species
CGUGUCUCUUUAUAUAUUCCAAGUCAAGGAUAUGACAGUUAUUAUCCAUUCAAUUGAUGUGUUUUGGAUUUUGAUUUUGCAAUUUGAAUUUUCUGCGGAUUUUACUUGUUAUUCUAUAUCAACAUUGAUUGUAUCGGUAGGCAAAAGAGUUGUUGUGAAACUACCUACACUAGGGGUGGUAUGAAUCAUUAAACAGAUGUGAAUACUAAAACAUUUGAAAAGAUAUA